rnacentral:lncRNA from 1 species
UGCAGUGUUGAUAGUGAGGUAUAUAUGUUUAUAUGGACAAAUAUAUCACAGUAACAAGCAAUGACAAAUGGUACCAAUAAUGGCUCGCCAAAUACCAAUGGCUCGCCACAUCAAAAACUUGAUUUUGACACGGUAACUUAGCGAGCCAAACAUGUUUGAAUUUAUAGGUAAGGCUGCCGAAGAACAAUCAAGAAUAAAGGAACUUAACCGAAAAAGCGACUCGAGGCAGUAUGAGGCCAAGACACUAAAUCUGUCUCCUCCAAGAGAACAGGGAAACAAGCAGCAAGACGAUGCCAAUCACCAACUUCAAGCCUUGGACUGGGAGCAGCAAGUGUGACUGGAAAAAGGAAGUGAGGCCCCACACAUCCACAUAACAAGAUGAGCAGAAAUGUGGACUCAGCUAUGAUUUUAGAGUGCUUUCUUUCAAAAAAAAAAAAUGCAAGCAAGCAACUGCGGAGGCCUUCUUUUCCAAAAAAAAAAAAACCAUCCCAGGGCCUAUGGCAUAUCAUCGAGAAACACAUAGAGGCUCUGAUCAAAAUCCACAUCCUCUCAUACACUAUUCCAGGCGCCUUUCUGUUUUAGCAGCUGAGAAGACUAGUCGAAAUACAAAUACAAAGGAAAAGGAGCAACUGGGCAGAACAGAGGCAGAUGCAGUGUUCAGGGCGGGGGAGCCCGACUU